AACAGGUGACCAGGCCUGGAUCUUCCGCGGCCGGGUGGUGAGACCCACCUCCAGCCUUUAGUGUCCUGGACGAGCUUCUGCCUUUUGAGAAACCCCUUCUCUUCUUUCCUUCUCACCACAGCAUCAGCGAGCAAAGCUGUGGGGAGGCAGGACUUGGCGCGAUCUAAGGAUGCAGUUUUCAAGUCAGAACCGCCCAACAGCCGAGUAACUUCCGUUUGCACGGUGCUUUGGAGAGCUUUCCACUGGGUGAAAUCCUCGCGCAGACCUCUGAGGUUCAGAGAGGUUACGAUGGUUUUUGCCUAGGAAGUAGUGGAAGGACGCAGGGCUUUCCUACAACACGCAGCACCUCCCAGCAGAUGUUCUGAUACCCUGGUGGACAUUAGCUAGUGACUUAGGGAUCACAUGCUGGGCCUCCGUAUACUGAGAGCCUUUGCUGUCAGUGACCACAGAAAGGCUGGAGUGGGCGCCCGGGCCAGCACUAGGCUCAAUCAACAGUUACUUUUGUCAUCAAGCACGGGCCUCAGGAGUCUGGAGUAAAAUGGCAGAAAGAGCCAGAAUAUGAAAACUUCUUCGAGGGACGCCUUCAGAUUGAUGGAGGCAGGAAGACAGAUCAGGCCGGACCUCAUCUCCGAGG
rnacentral:lncRNA from 1 species